rnacentral:lncRNA from 1 species
UUGGAGUGGGCUUAUUUUGUGAAAUCGAAUGGUUUGUGCAAAUAAAGAAUUGUCUAAGGUAAUGUGAUUCUGCAUUAUCGUAGGCAGGACGAGGCUUAUUCGGGAUGUCUUAUGGACUUCCAAUGCUUGCGUAUCUCAUUCCUCUCAUCAGCAUCCUCAAGUUUUCAAGAUCUUUUCUGCACUCCCAAAUCUUGGUUGGUAUACUAUUUUUUCAAUUCUCUAUCAAAUUUAACAGAAAAUGUGAAAGUUUUGGCUUUUUGAGUUUAAUUUGAAUCUUGUUAUCGUUGUUUAGCAAUUUUUAUUCACCCAAUUUGUUUUUUGUGCUUGCAGAAGCUUAAAGUGUCUGCCUUCAAUUACACACUAAAUUUUGUUGCAAUCUUUUGGUGUUUUAUGUUCCGUCUUGUUUAAUAUUUUUAAGAAAAAAGACUAAAACCAUUGAUUUAUGUACAAAAUGAAGUGUAUGCUUGCUAGCCUACAAAGCUAUAGAACACUGGAUGUUUUAUGAUUGAAUAUCACUUAAAGAGUGAAAGCUUCUACGGCGUGACCUUUUUGCCAAUUUUUCGGAUAAUUUGAGGAGUGGAGAUAACUAGCUUUUAGAUAAACUAUUCAUGUUUUUCAAUUCACAAAGAAUUAUAUAAGUUUCCAUAGCUUGAGGAGGAUCCAACAAGCAUAGGGAAUAUCAUGAAUCUUUUUGUAAAAUAAGGGGUAAAUCACAAUUUAAUGUAGAAUAAGAGGUGAAUCACACAAUUCAAUGUAGAAUAUUAGACUAUCUACACAAAGGUAGAGCCUAGCGGUCACUGAAGUGAGUAAAAACCUUGAAGAAUAGAGUUCAAAUCCAAGCAGAGACAAACAAUGCGAAGGUGAUUUCUUCUAACUAGGAAAUAAUAGCUCGGGGUUUUCGUUGCUUGUGAAUCUGUGAAUUUUCUAAUAUGUUAUGUAUAAUAUAUGACCCGAAUAACUGGAAGAUUUCAACUAAGAAGUUCCAAUCUCAGAGAGAAAUACCUUGAUAAUGCAUAUACAUAGACAUUCCUCAAAAUUGUUUUUUGAUAAAAAUAAAUUUUUAAAAAAAACUAAUAAGUAACUUGAAGGUUUGGCCCUUGAAGUGUUUUAGACCCAUACUAUGUUGGUUAACAAACUGUAUUAAUGUGAUAUUAAAACUUCUCCAUUCUUUCUCUUCUUUCAGCCUCAUUUUGGAUCUAUCCUUAAAACUUUUUGAAGGCUAUAGUGUUGGAAUUGAACUUGCUCCCUUGUGACAACCCGAUAGGUCAUUUUGAGUACUAGCCCUUAUUUUCGUAUUCCGAGACCUCUAUUAGCUUUAUUAGAUAUUUCUUGAUUUACGUGUGUGGUCUGUAUCGCUUUUAGAAACGCUUUUAUGUGAAAUUUUGAAGAAAAUAAAAAAUUUGACUAAAAAUAAGGCUAGAGUUGACCACGGUCAAUAUUUUAGGUAAAAGACCCAGAAUCAGUAUUUUAACGAUUCUGGUAGAUCCAUAUUAUGAUUUUGGACUUAAGCAUAUGCCCGAAAUUUAAUUCGGAGGUCCCUAAGUUGAUUUGACUUGUUUUGCCGAGAGUUGGCAAUUUGAAUGUGUAGAAAUUCUUUAGGUUUGACCGUAGGUUAAAUUAACUGUUAUCGGGUUUGGAUUUUGGUUUUAGAACUUGAAAUAGGUCCGUUUUGCUAUGUGAAACUUGUCUGCAAAAUUCGGUGUAAUUCAGAGUUGGUUUGAUAGGAUUCGUACGCUUGGUUGUGAUUCUAAAGGUUUUUGAGUUUUGUUUUGAAUUUCUUGUGUUUUGAUGUCCGAUUCGUGGUUCUAAAUGUUAUUUUAUUGUUUUGAUCGUGCAAUCCAGUUUAUAUGAUGUUAUUACACUUGUGUGCAUAAUUGGUUUAGAGCCCGAGGGGCUCGGGUGAGUUUCGAAGGUGCUACGGAUGAGUUUGGUUAGUUGAAGAUUGCUGGUGUGCUUUAGUUCUGGUGUUGGGCUGCAGGUCUCGCAUUUGCGAUGAUCUAUUCGCAAAUGCGAACUUUGCUCUUGCGAAGUUGAGCUCGCAAUUGCGUUGGGGGGAAAAGGCAUGGUAGUCUUCGCAUUUGCAAAGAAAUUAAAUGUUCGCAAUUGCGGACAUCCCAGACUUCAUUUUUGCGAUGGCUUGGUCGCAUUUGCGACUGAGCACUUGGCUUAGGCAGGUUCGCAAAUGCGAACCUUUGAUCAGAUUCGCGGUUGGAUGAGACAUUGCAAAUGCGAUGAUUUUGUCGCAAUUUCCUCUUAUAUAGACUGGGGACACAGUUUACAUUUGCGACCUGAGUUUCGCAAUUGCGACAUCUGCAGCUGGAUAAAAGAGGGGAAAAAUUAGGACUUAGCUCAUUUUACACCAUUUCUCAACCCUAAACAAUUUAGAGGUAAUUUUUCAAGAAUUGCUUCUUCCCAAAAUCAUUGGUAAGUAACUCAAACCUACUUUCUUUCAAUUCCCCAUUACUUUUCAUGUGUUUUUAAUAUCAAAUUUAGGAUUUUAUGGUAGAAAUUAGGGAUUUUGAUAGAAUUUAAGAAUUUUAUAAAAUUGAGAUUUAGACCUCAAAUUGAGGUCGAAUUUCGAAACAAAUUACAUAACCGGACUCAAGGGUGAAUGGGUAAUCGUAUUUUGGUCUGAAUCUCGAAUUUUGACCAAGCGGGUCCGGGGUUGAUUUUUGUUGACUUCUUAAAAUUCAUCAAAAAUUGAACAUUUUUCCUUCGUGAGUAGUUUCUAAAGCUUAUUUUGAAUUGUUUGAUAGAUAAUUGAUUAUCUCAUUAAUUGUACGCUUUCGUAAUCAUCGUUUAUGUUAAAGUUGUUGGGAUAUUGAAGGUUGAGUUUGUUUAUCAUAACACUAUGAUUGAAGUGAAAUUUACUUCCCACCUUGUAUUGAUACCUUGGUAUAUUAUUGUUGCUUGGUGAGGAAGAAGGGUGUUGCAUAUGCUAUCAUUUAUUUGAGAGAUUGUGAGGAUUAAAGCACGAAAGUUGAUGCCGUGCACUUGAUUUCUUAUUAUCAUUUAUCUUACCAUGUGAGGAAGAGAGUAAAAGUACGAAGGGUGAUGUCAUGCCAUUUCAUUUAUCAUAUCAUUAUUAUAUGGUGAGGCUGAGAGUAAAAGUAUGAAAGGGUGAUGCCGUACUAAUGUUGAUUCCAUUGCUUUAUUUGAUUUUCGGAUUUUGUGAUUUAUCGGUUGCAUUGUCAUUUAUCUUGGAAGAAGUUUACUUGGUGACUUUGUACUUGCCAUUCUUAUCGUACUUUCUUUUUCUACAUGUUCCCUCCCUGUUAUUAUGUUAAAUGCCUAUUUGUUAUUUUUCUUUCUUCAUGUAUAUAUCUGCUUAGGAUCUUAGUAGGUGUCUUGUCAUAGCCUCGUCACUACCUCAUCGGGGUUAGGCUCGACACUUACUGAGUACAUUGGGUCGGUUGUACUUAUGCUACACUUUUGCACUUAUUGUACAGAUACUGGUGUUGGUCCUAGC